rnacentral:rRNA from 1 species
GUGUCAGCAGCCGCGGUAAUACAGAGGGUGCAAGCGUUAAUCGGAAUUACUGGGCGUAAAGCGCGCGUAGGCGGCUGUCUAAGUCGGGUGUGAAAGCCCCGGGCUCAACCUGGGAACUGCAUUCGAUACUGGACGGCUAGAGUAUGAGAGAGGGAGGUAGAAUUCCACGUGUAGCGGUGAAAUGCGUAGAUAUGUGGAGGAAUACCGGUGGCGAAGGCGGCCUCCUGGUUCAAUACUGACGCUGAGGUGCGAAAGCGUGGGGAGCAAACAGGAUUAGAUACCCCCGUAGUCC